AGUCUUAUAGUCAAUAAUGAUAUUAAAUUGCAAAUUUAAAGUAGAAUUUUUUUUCUAAGGCUU
rnacentral:tRNA from 1 species